rnacentral:tRNA from 1 species
GGCUGUAGCUAAGUGGUAAAGCACUUGCCUCGCAGGUGUAAGACCCUGGGUUCGAUCCUCAGCACCA